UUAGUGAUCCGGUGGUUCUGCGUGGAAGGGCCAUCGCUCAACGGAUAAAAGCUACCCUGGGGAUAACAGGCUUAUCUCCCCCAAGAGUCCACAUCGACGGGGAGGGUUGGCACCUCGAUGUCGGCUCAUCACAUCCUGGGGCUGUAGUAGGUCCCAAGGGUUGGGCUGUUCGCCCAUUAAAGUGGUACGCGAGCUGGGUUCAGAACGUCGUGAGACAGUUCGGUCCCUAUCCGUCGCAGGCGUAGGAAAUUUGAGAAGACCUGUCCUUAGUACGAGAGGACCGGGAUGGACGUACCUCUGGUGUACCAGUUGUCCUGCCAAGGGCAUGGCUGGGUAGCUAUGUACGGAAUGGAUAAGCGCUGAAAGCAUCUAAGCGCGAAGCCAACUUCAAGAUAAGAUUUCCCACCGCAAGGGUAAGACCCCAGAAAGACUAUCUGGUUGAUAGGUCGAAGGUGUAAGUGCAGCAAUGUAUUUAGCUUAUCGAUACUAAUAGGUCGAGGACUUGACCAAU
rnacentral:rRNA from 1 species